rnacentral:lncRNA from 1 species
GAAAACUUGAAAAAGUAAUAAAAGAAGUCCAAAAGGACUCAAGAACAAGUUGUUGCGAGGGUAACUUAAUGUGCAUGCACGGGUGGGUGUGCAAUUGUCACGCAGGUCAUGUUAGAUGGCUGCACGAGUCACGUCAGGUGUUGCUACUCGCACACCCCACGUACUUGUCCGUGUGGGUGAAGUGCCUACAUGUGUGGGUACCAUGGUUCACAUGUGUGAAGGGUCACACACAUGUAACCAAUGGGUACUCACCCAAUUUACAUUUUCAGCUUCCUUCAGGGUCGAGAUUCGUAGGCCGAGUUAUUCUUUGGUCGUGAGGCCCAAUAACUACCUCGUUUCCCGUCUUUUAUGAUUCUUCUUCUUUUUAU